ACGUAGGUCCCGAGCGUUGUCCGGAUUUAUUGGGCGUAAAGCGAGCGCAGGUGGUUUAAUAAGUCUGAUGUAAAAGGCAGUGGCUAAACCAUUGUGUGCAUUGGAAACUGUUAGACUUGAGUGCAGUAGAGGAGAGUGGAAUUCCAUGUGUAGCGGUGAAAUGCGUAGGUAUAUGGAGUAACGCCGGUGGCGAAAGCGGCUCUCUGGACUUUCACUGACGCUGAGGCUCGAGAGCGUGGGUAGCAAAAAG
rnacentral:rRNA from 1 species